rnacentral:tRNA from 1 species
GGGGCUGUAGCUCAAUGGUUGAGUGCUUGCCUAGCAUGCAUGAGGCACUGGGUUCGGUCCUCAGCACCA